AUGCUUUGCAGUUGUGUCAAGCUUAGAUUUUCGUCUUCACAUCGACAAAAUUCGAUAACAAAUUGGAAUAGUUUUUCACAUUCGCUGUUCAACAUGAUUUCCAGAUCAUCACACAUCACAUCUAUGCAGUCUCGGUCUUUUAUUUUAAUUGGUUGUUGUGCUCAGCGGUCGCCCUAUCAUUACUGUGAUUUGAAUCCAAUGACCAACAAGGCCGGAGUCUGGGUUACACACGGAAUUCAACUGAUUAAGCCUGCUGCAGGAUGCACGAAACUC
ensembl:antisense_RNA K10G4.14 ncRNA